rfam:Felis catus isolate Cinnamon breed Abyssinian chromosome X, whole genome shotgun sequence.
GCCUGGGUGGCUCAGUCAGUUGAGCAUCCGACUUCGGAUCGGGUCAUGAUCUCACAGCUUGUGAGUUCAAGCCCCAUGUCGGGCU